GGAUUGGUGGCUCAAUGGUAGUGUGUCUGACUCCAGAUAAGAAUGUUGCGUGUUUGACUCACAUCAGAUUCA
rnacentral:tRNA from 1 species